rnacentral:rRNA from 1 species
CCUACGGGAGGCAGCAGUAGGGAAUAUUGCUCAAUGGGGGAAACCCUGAAGCAGCAACGCCGCGUGGAGGAUGAAGGUUUUCGGAUUGUAAACUCCUUUUGUUAGAGAAGAUAAUGACGGUAUCUAACGAAUAAGCACCGGCUAACUCCGGGACAGCAGCCGCGGUACUACGGAGGGUGCAAGCGUUACUCGGAAUUACUGGGCGUAAAGAGGGCGUAGGCGGGAUAGCAAGUCAGAUGUGAAAUCCUAGGGCUUAACCAUAGAACUGCCUUUGAAACUGUUAUUCUAGAGUAUGGGAGAGGUAGGUGGAAUUCUUGGUGUAGGGGUAAAAUCCGUAGAGAUCAAGAGGAAUACUGAUUGCGAAGGCGACCUGCUAGAACAUAACUGACGCUGAUGCGCGAAAGCGUGGGGAGCAAACAGGAUUAGAUACCCGGGUAGUC